rnacentral:rRNA from 1 species
CCCUUAGAUGUUCUGGGCUGCACGCGCGCUACACUGAAGCGUUCAACGAGUAUUUCACCUUGCCCGGGAGGGUUGGGUAAUCUUUUUAAAACGCUUCGUGAUGGGGAUAGAUUAUUGCAAUUAUUAAUCUUCAACGAGGAAUUCCUAGUAAGUGCGAGUCAUCAGCUCGUGCUGAUUAUGUCCCUGCCCUUUGUACACACCGCCCGUCGCUCCUACCGAUUGAAUGGUCCGGUGAAAAUUUCGGAUACCGGCAUUGCUGGCGGUUCGCCGCCGGCGACGCUGGUAGAAGAUCUUUAAACCUUAUCAUUUAGAGGAAGGAGAAGUCGUAACA